UGAUGGAGCACGCCGCGUGAGUGAAGAAGGCUUUCGGGUCGUAAAACUCUGUUGUUGGAGAAGAAUGGUCGGCAGAGUAACUGUUGUCGGCGUGACGGUAUCCAACCAGAAAGCCACGGCUAACUACGUGCCAGCAGCCGCGGUAAUACGUAGGUGGCAAGCGUUAUCCGGAUUUAUUGGGCGUAAAGCGAGCGCAGGCGGUUUUUUAAGUCUGAUGUGAAAGCCCUCGGCUUAACCGAGGAAGCGCAUCGGAAACUGGGAAACUUGAGUGCAGAAGAGGACAGUGGAACUCCAUGUGUAGCGGUGAAAUGCGUAGAUAUAUGGAAGAACACCAGUGGCGAAGGCGGCUGUCUGGUCUGUAACUGACGCUGAGGCUCGAAAGCAUGGGUAGCGAACAGGAUUAGAUACCCUGGUAGUCCAUGCCGUAAACGAUGAAUGCUAGGUGUUGGAGGGUUUCCGCCCUUCAGUGCCGCAGCUAACGCAUUAAGCAUUCCGCCUGGGGAGUACGACCGCAAGGUUGAAACUCAAAGGAAUUGACGGGGGCCCGCACAAGCGGUGGAGCAUGUGGUUUAAUUCGAAGCAACGCGAAGAACCUUACCAGGUCUUGACAUCUUUUGAUCACCUGAGAGAUCAGGUUUCCCCUUCGGGGGCAAAAUGACAGGUGGUGCAUGGUUGUCGUCAGCUCGUGUCGUGAGAUGUUGGGUUAAGUCCCGCAACGAGCGCAACCCUUAUGACUAGUUGCCAGCAUUUAGUUGGGCACUCUAGUAAGACUGCCGGUGACAAACCGGAGGAAGGUGGGGGAUGACGUCAAAUCAUCAUGCCCCUUAUGACCUGGGCUACACACGUGCUACAAUGGAUGGUACAACGAGUUGCGAGACCGCGAGGUCAAGCUAAUCUCUUAAAGCCAUUCUCAGUUCGGACUGUAGGCUGCAACUCGCCUAC
rnacentral:rRNA from 2 species